GAGAGACAACACAUUGCGUUGAACGGAGCAGGCACGAGCAGGCCACCACAAGGAUAUCCCCUCCUUCCAGCUUUCUUUAUCACAUGGCUGCAGUAGAAGAUUGUGUUCUUGCCAGACUGCUCAUCCAUGACCAAGCAGUGUACAGAGUGGGCAGAUACAGCUCAACCGUGCUGCCACUGAAAUGUUUGUUUUGUGCAAGGGUUCAAAAUAUUCUUCUCUAUUAAAGAGUGAGUUGUAGUUCCCACCGAAUUGUGCCUUGCAGUGACACAGCUGUAAUACCAUCCAGGCCAAAGAGUAUGCAGAGUCCACAGAUCCAACUCACUGGCUCCCUGUCUACCACCGCAUUGACUACAUGAUCCUCCUUCUAACUUACAAAACUCAUCACUACCUCCCCCCGUCCCUACGUCUCUGACCUUCUCCGCUACCAACCCACACCUCAUUCCGUUCCACCACAGCAGGCCACCUUGUGGUUCCCAGAUCCACGCUCCAGAGCUUCGCCUACAGGACUUUCUCCAGGUUUGCUUCAAGGAUCUGGAACUCCCUCCCUCCAGCCACCUGUAACUCUUGAGUCCAUCACCAUCUUUAAGUUCCUCCUAAAGCCCCACCUCUUCACCAUGGCCUAACCUUAAGCCCUGCCCACUACAACCCCUGGUUCAGAGUCCCGUUUGUCAACUUUGACCGUCUCCGGAGAAUCACCACCUUCAACAUCAACCUCUAACAUUUUCAAAAGCGACAACCACUAACAACAAUUAGCAAUCUGUUGACUGUGUGAAGAUGUGAUGAUAUGCUUGACUCAGAUUACUUAUUAUUUUUGAGCUCCAUUGGCACUUUCAAGUUUAAUGUGGUGAUUCUUUGGAGACCGUCCAGGUUAGCAGCAUCAAUGUUCUUGUCUUUCUCCCUCAGAGGGACAUCUUUCUCCUUCCUGAUGCCGGUGCUGUCCUGUAAAGGAGAGAGAGGGGGGAGAUGUUAGAGAGACAACUAAAAUAAUGUCUCAUCAAAUGUUAGAAAUUAACACAGUGCCCAGUAACGAUUGUCUUUCAAGUUUCAAUACCUACCUUAAUAAUGAUCAAUAAAUUGCAAGUCUGUUUGUCAUUAAAUAAUUUGUCAUUCUUCCUUUAUCUCAAGGUAUAAUAGUGCAUUGUUGAACAGAAGUGUCAUACAUUACAGCAUAUCCUCUUGGCAAACAUGGGCAGAAGUGCUCUGAGGGAAAGGCUUUCCCCUUUCCGGCCAUUUGGUCUCU